AGUUAACUCAUAAAUUGCUCCUAAUCAUAGGAUCAUCAUGGGGACAGUGAUCGAUCCGAAAUAUUGAUGUAUGAUUACUUUCUUCAGAUUGAGGAGUCUUGAAUCUAUGGUGUAGAGAUACCGAAAUGAAAGUAUAAGUGCUUGUUAAUAAUAAGGGUACUGAGCAUGAUCAAUCACGAACAGUCAUAAAGAUUUCUAUCUUCUCAUCAGUGACUUGUUCAUAGCUGCAGUUGUGUGUCUAAUUCUUUGACCUGAGAUGUAUCAACAAUUAACCUUGAGGGUACUAUAGUUUGACUACACCAUAACUCGAUCUUCUAGCCAUACGGAGCUUUGAGG
rnacentral:lncRNA from 1 species